rnacentral:rRNA from 1 species
AAUUAAAUAUCCAAUAAUAAUUNAAUUGUAACCCAUUAUAAACUUGAACAUAAGCUACAUCUUGAUUUGAAAUAAUUUCAAAUUAAAAAAUAUGAAAAUUUUUAUUUUUAUAAAAUAUUCAAUAAACAACGAUAUAUAAACUAUAAACAAAUUCAAGUAAGGUUCAUCGUGGAUUAUCGAUUACAAAACAGGUUCCUCUGAAUAGACUAAAAUACCGCCAAAUUUUUUAAAUUUCAAGAUCUUAAACUAAUACUACUUAAAUAUUUUAAAUUUAAUUUUUAAUAAUAGGGUAUCUAAUCCUAGUUUAG